GUGUGAAGCUGCGGACCCGUGUUUUCGACUUGGAGCAACAAAACCGUAUUUUGAGCAUGCUGUUUCAACAGCGAGUCAAAAUGUCCACUGCUCCUGUCUCCCAGGAGUUCCAAAGAAAUGGAAAAGCUGGAAUUCCAGCAGGAAGGUGGCCAAGCCUACUUAGUCUAACAUGCCCACGAAGCAGUGUGAGUGGCAGUGGGAGUGAGCAGUCACUGUCCAGUGCAUGUAGCGAGUACUCCAGUGGUUCCCACACAUGGGCAGAAGGACGUGGUUUCACCAAACAGUGUGCCAUAAACAGAGACAAAAGGAUAAGUGCAGGCUCAGUUUCCAGCUACCAUUCCACGACCAGUGAACAAGCAGACUUGGGAUGGAAGGAAGGCCACAUAUUGAAAGGCUUGAAACGUCUUCAAAUGUCCAACUUGAAAGAGGCUUCAUCCCUUGCAUCUGUUCCACACUGCAAAGAUUGUAUGACUUCAAAUGAAGGCAUUUAUUCUCUUGGUGUCAAGUGUGGCCAGCAAAGUACUGCAACAAAAAAACCUGCACCUACAACCAAACUCGUCAUCCCUGAACUGCAAAUUCCCACCCUGGACUCUGAUGGUGCAGAAGAGGAACCAAAUAAACUGGGAAAUGGAGAAUCUAACAGCCACACAGAAAAUGUACUUCUCUGCUUAGAAAAUCUGGAUGCCAGCAGGGAUAUUGUUCAAAAUAUUCAAGAUGAUCCUGUGAAACUGUUUCACUCCCCCGUCACUGACAAUUACCAAUUUUUGGAAAGCCCUUUGUUAAAACCUGGCAUAAGUCCAACUGAUAGCCUCACACAGUUGGGGGACAAAAACAAAAGUUCAUUAGAAAAAGGCAAAAGUAUUAAAUUUAGUGACAAAAAUAAUAAUCAAGAAAGAUCUACUGAACGCAAAUCCCGACUUGAUCAGAUCAAAAGACAACAAGGGAGACUUCCUAUUAAGCUGAUUGAAAGUGGAACAAAUAUUGUUAGCCUCUCUGUUCAGCAUACUGGCACACAAGCUUUGAGCUGCAUGAAUGAAGCCAGACAGCGCAGCUCAUCACUGGAUGUCCCUUACUACCGAAAUCAGGGAAGUCAACCUGGUAGUGAAAAUCAGGACCUCAGCGAUUCAGAGUCUUCACAAAGGAAACCCAAACCUCAGCUUUGUGACUCAGCAAGAAAAGCGUUCAUUCUCCGAAGCAAAAGUGCAGAUGCAGGACAAGACCAACUCAAGCAUACACAUUCCCCUCUUCACCAGAAACUUAUCAAAGACCCUAAAUCUAAAGGACAGUUAAUCCAGAACCCUACUGCGCACAGUGUUCCCAACAAGCGAACAAAUCUAAGUAAAACUCAAGCUUCAAGCAAAGGCUUGUUGUGUGAAAUUGAGAAAGAUGGCUCUUUGCCAGUAUCAACAAGCUCCAAGUCCCUUGAGUGUGUACGAUCCCCUCUUGCCUCUCCUGUGAAACACUCAAAGACGUGCAGGACCCCUGUGGUUUGUGACAGCUCAAAAAGUCCAACAAAAUCAUCUUGGCCAAACACCAAAUUCCCUUUAAAUAAUGACUCCAUCGAGGAAAACAUCUAUGACAACCAGCCCUGUUCUCCAAGAAAACAACGGCGUCAAGACAAGCACUGGGAUGCAUCCCUUCCUGAAUAUUGGCCACAAUCCCCACCUCUACCUCCUGGUCGAAGUACCUCUCUACUUGAGCCUAUUAACAACUCAACAAAUGAUCAAACAUCUUCAGGUCAGCUACAAAGCUCUACUACUGGGAAGAUAAUCAACAUACAAGACAAUCAACACAUGGGUACAGAUGGUGAGCUACUGAAAAACCUUCCUGCUCAAAACUAUCAUGGCCACUUAUCCAAAAUAAUACAAGGUCAAGAAUCACUAGGCACAGAAUCAAUUCAGUUACUUACAGAUCAAACCGCUACAUCCUUUAAUGAAAAUUGUGCUUUCUCUCUUUUGCCAAGUCAGAGCAUUUUGCAAAGAUCCCAGCAGAGUAUUAGCGAGCCAAAGCUUUCUGAAGUAAUACCUCCAGUUUACUCUAAUAUUUACUACCAUGGGAUUGCCAAGAAUCCUCAGAUUUCUGUCUCGAGAGCUAUUAAAAGAAGUCUUCCAGUAAAUGCUAAGUCUCACGAGGCUAUUGCAGGACAGGAAACAAAUACCUUUCUUAUCUUUGGAAGACAAAACCAAGAGGAUUCAAAUAUGUCCGCACAGAGAGCCCAGAGCUUUCAGACUUUUACAUGUGAUCCCCAGAUGAUUCAUGACUGUGGAGCACAUGAGAAAGCCCACAAGAAGAUUGAGCUACGAUGUAACUCAUUAGAUUCAGAGCCCACUGUUCAACCAGUCGCAUCAGACAGUGGUGUAAUGUUAGACUGGGGAUUUGAUGAAGAAGGUUGGCUUUUCAAGCGCUCUGUGUCUGUAUCUACAAGGCCUCCACUGAAACCAGUUAUGGGAAUGAAUGGAGCAAAGGCUAGAAGUCAGAGCUUUGGUGCACGCUACAUGGACAGACCAAGCUUUAACAGAUCUGGAAAGGUUCGCACACAGAUCAAAACACACUCAGGGAGUUCCUUGAACUCUCUUGGUGAUGUUCUUCCAGGCAGUAUGAGUUGCUCCAGCAGCUACCAUUGUCCAAUGAAUCGAUCCCUGUUGAAUAACUUUUUAAUUGAAGAAGGACUAGCUGUUCCCUCACAUUUGGGGUCUUCCAGUGAGAGACUACAGAGUCUGAAACAACAGCGAGAGCAGGCUAGGCGUCUUCAGAUUGAACAGCAGUUCUCAAGUGCAUUUGGGGAGCCGGUCUCUGAAGAACCAGAAAGGCAAAGUACAAUAACUACAAUUGAAGAGAAAGUGAUGCUCGGUAUCGAGGAGAACUUACACAAAUCUAAAGAGCAGGAGCGAAGCCAAGAAGUUAAACAAAAACCUGGCUCAAGCUUGGCAAACUGGUUUGGCUUUCGUAAGAGUAAACUUCCUGCUCCAAGUAACAAAAAAGCUGACCCACCAAAAGCUAAAGAAGAAAAAAGGGAGCAAAAGAUUACAUCACUUCUUGGAGGAAAGCAGACAAAGGCAGAGAAAAAGAGAGACAGAAGGAAAAGCGAUGGCAAAGACAGCUCUGUGGGGAGAAGAGAGUCUCAUGAUGCAGUGCGAGCCUGCAUCUCAGUACCAUGCCCGGGAAUGUCAGUGAAUGAGAUACAAGGGUGUACAGACAUCAGUGGUGAUCCAAAGACGCAGACGAUGAACCGAAGAACUGAUGGUGAAAGUGGAACAACAGUGAAGAGCCCCACUCAAGACACAGUAAUAGUUUGCAAGCAGAAGUGA
rnacentral:lncRNA from 1 species